CCUACGGGGAGCCGCAGUGAGGAAUAUUGGUCAAUGUGCGCGAGCCUGAACCAGCCAAGUAGCGUGAAGGAUGACUGCCCUACGGGUUGUAAACUUCUUUUAUAAAGGAAUAAAGUAGGCACGUGUACCUUUUUGUAUGUAUUUUAUUACUAAGGAUCGGCUAACUUCGUGCCAGCAGCCGCGGUAAUACGGAGGAUCCGAGCGUUAUACGGAUUUUUUGGGUUUAAAGGGAGCGUAGAUGGGUUGUUAAGUCAGUUGUGAAAGUUUGCGGCUCAACCGUAAAAUUGCAAUUGAGACUGGCAGCCUUGAGUACAGUUGAGGUAGGCGGAAUUCGUGGUGUAGCGGUGAAAUGCUUAGAUAUCACGAAGAACUCCGAUUGCGAAGGCAGCCUACUAAACUGCCACUGACAUUGAUGCUCGAAAGUGUGGGUAUCAAACAGGAUUAGAUACCCGAGUAGUC
rnacentral:rRNA from 1 species